CAGUCGCCGCGGUAAUACAGAGGGUGUGAGCGUUAAUCGGAUUUACUGGGCGUAAAGCGUGCGUAGGCGGCUUUUUAAGUCGGAUGUGAAAUCCCUGAGCUUAACUUAGGAAUUGCAUUCGAUACUGGGAAGCUAGAGUAUGGGAGAGGAUGGUAGAAUUCCAGGUGUAGCGGUGAAAUGCGUAGAGAUCUGGAGGAAUACCGAUGGCGAAGGCAGCCAUCUGGCCUAAUACUGACGCUGAGGUACGAAAGCAUGGGGAGCAAACAGGAUUAGAUACCCCAGUAGUCCCUGUCUCUUAUAC
rnacentral:rRNA from 1 species